rnacentral:rRNA from 1 species
CCCCUAGAUGUUCUGGGCCGCACGCGCGCUACACUGAACAGUUCAACAAGUCUUAACCUUGGCCGAUAGGUCUGGGUAAUCUUUGAACGCUGUUCGUGAUUGGGAUAGACCUUUGCAAUUAUGGGUCUUCAACGAGGAAUUCCUAGUAAACGCAAGUCAUCAGCUUGCAUUGAUUACGUCCCUGCCCUUUGUACACACCGCCCGUCGCACCUACCAAUUGAAUGGUCCGGUGAAAUCUCGGGACGGCGGCUUGGUCGCUUGCGUCCGACUGCUGAAACUUGAUUAAACCAUAUCAUUUAGAGGAAGGUGAAGUCGUAACA